rnacentral:rRNA from 1 species
GACGAACGCUGGCGGCGUGCUUAACACAUGCAAGUCGGACGGAAAGGCCCUGCUUGCAGGGUGCUCGAGUGGCGAACGGGUGAGUAACACGUGGGUGAUCUGCCCCUUACUUUGGGAUAAGCCUGGGAAACUGGGUCUAAUACUGGAUAGGACCAUGCUGUAGGUGGUGUGGUGGAAAGAUUAGUUUCGGUAAGGGAUGAGCUCGCGGCCUAUCAGCUUGUUGGUGGGGUAAUGGCCUACCAAGGCGUCGACGGGUAGCCGGCCUGAGAGGGUGGACGGCCACAUUGGGACUGAGAUACGGCCCAGACUCCUACGGGAGGCAGCAGUGGGGAAUAUUGCACAAUGGGCGCAAGCCUGAUGCAGCGACGCCGCGUGGGGGAUGACGGCCUUCGGGUUGUAAACUCCUUUCAGCCAUGACGAAGCCCUUGUGGUGACGGUAGUGGUAGAAGAAGCACCGGCUAACUACGUG